rnacentral:sRNA from 1 species
AUUCCGGUUCCAUGCACCCGCCGCCCGCGGCUCUGCUAAUGCCUGUCCUCUUUGGGGUGACUAGGACCCUCCAAUCUUUUUCCGCGCUGAAAGCCUGGCCGUAAAGACCGCACCCCUGGGGCGGGCUGAGACGCAGAGAAGCCGGGGCGCCCCUCUGCCGGUCCGCCGGGAGUUCCCGGGCCCGCAGCAGGCUGGGGACACGGCGGGACCCGCUGCACCUGGCCAGGGAGGGGCGGGGCGGGCGCGUUAGUGCAGCUGGGGGAGGUGCCGCCCCGGUCCCACCCUCCCGGCCGUCCGGUGGGGAAACCCAGGAGCCACCCCGCGGCGCGGCUGCGGCUUUGCCUCGGCGCGACAGGGAAAAUAAAAGAAGCAAAAACAGGCCCUGCUGUGAGGGACCACGAGGCAGUGCCAGGAUGAAAGAGUUGGAGUAACCUAGGUGAUUCUGAGUGAAUCAGUCAGGAGGCCUUCCUGGAGGGGGCUGAGGCCCCAGCUUGUGGCCACCACAACGUAUCAAGCUAUCUCCAGGGUUGGGCUCAGGACUCAGAGCUG